rnacentral:tRNA from 1 species
UCCUACGCGGUGAGGGCGGCCUCGCCCUGGUCGCCUCGGGGGCGUGGCUGCGGCUGCGCACGCCCUACGGUUCCGUCGCCGUACGCCGGGC